CACAAGCGGUGGAGCAUGUGGUUUAAUUCGAUGCAACGCGAAGAACCUUACCAGGUCUUGACAUCCCGAUGCUAUUUCUAGAGAUAGAAAGUUACUUCGGUACAUCGGUGACAGGUGGUGCAUGGUUGUCGUCAGCUCGUGUCGUGAGAUGUUGGGUUAAGUCCCGCAACGAGCGCAACCCCUAUUGUUAGUUGCCAUCAUUCAGUUGGGCACUCUAGCGAGACUGCCGGUAAUAAACCGGAGGAAGGUGGGGAUGACGUCAAAUCAUCAUGCCCCUUAUGACCUGGGCUACACACGUGCUACAAUGGUUGGUACAACGAGUUGCGAGUCGGUGACGGCGAGCUAAUCUCUUAAAGCCAAUCUCAGUUCGGAUUGUAGGCUGCAACUUGCCUACAUGAAGUCGGAAUCGCUAGUAAUCGCGGAUCAGCACGCCGCGGUGAAUACGUUCCCGGGCCUU
rnacentral:rRNA from 1 species